rnacentral:rRNA from 1 species
AGGACGAACGCUGGCGGCGUGCUUAACACAUGCAAGUCAAGGGGGCCCAGCAAUGGGCAACCGGCGAACGGGUGCGUAACACGUGAGCAACCUACCGAACUGUGGGGGAUAGCCGGCCUAACGGCCGAGUAAUACCGCAUACGCUCUCAGGGAGGCAUUUCUUUGAGAGGAAACCUACGGGACAGAUCGAGGGGCUCGCGGCCUAUCAGCUAGUUGGCGAGGUAACGGCUCACCAAGGCAACGACGGGUAGCUGGUCUGAGAGGAUGGCCAGCCACAUUGGGACUGAGAUACGGCCCAGACUCCUACGGGAGGCAGCAGUGGGGAAUCUUGCGCAAUGGCCUAACGGCUGACGCAGCGACGCCGCGUGUGGAUGAAGCUCUUCGGAGUGUAAACCACUGUUGCCCGGGACGAAUAGCUCGAUUAAUCGAGCCUGACGGUACCGGUGAGGAAGCACCGGCUAACUCCGCGCCAGCAGCCGCGGU